GCGCUGAAAGCAUCUAAGCGCGAAGCCCCCCUCAAGAUGAGAUUUCCCAUUCCCCUGUGGAAGUAAGACCCCUUGUAGAUGACGAGGUUGAUCGGUCCGAGGUGUAAGCGCAGCAAUGCGUUUAGCUGACGGAUACGAAUCGGUCGAGGGCUUAUCCUAC
rnacentral:rRNA from 1 species